rnacentral:rRNA from 1 species
GGCUCAGGACAACGGCUGGCGGCGUGCCUAACACAUGCAAGUCGAACGGAGAUACGCGCUGAUUUGAUGGUAGCUUGCUACUGGAUUUUCUUGUGUAUCUUAGUGGCGACGGGCGAGUAACGCGUGAGCAACCUGCCCCUCAGAGGGGAACAACAGUUGGAAACGACUGCUAAUACCGCAUAAUGUCAUUUGGGGGCAUCCCCGAAUGACCAAAGAUUUAUUGCUGAAAGAUGGCUUCGCGUCUGAUUAGCUAGUUGGUGAGGUAACGGCCCACCAAGGCGACGAUCAGUAGCCGGUCUGAGAGGAUGAACGGCCACAUUGGGACUGAGAUACGGCCCAGACUCCUACGGGAGGCAGCAGUGGGGAAUAUUGGGCAAUGGGGGAAACCCUGACCCAGCAACGCCGCGUGAAGGAAGAAGGCCUUCGGGUUGUAAACUUCUUUUAGUAGGGACGAAUACAUGACGGUACCUACAGAAAAAGCAACGGCUAACUACGUG